UCGCCGUUGCGGCGGGUCUAUACAUGCAGUAGAACGCUGAAGGAGGAGCUUGCUUCUCUGGAUGAGUUGCGAACGGGUGAGUAACGCGUAGGUAACCUGCCUGGUAGCGGGGGAUAACUAUUGGAAACGAUAGCUAAUACCGCAUAAUAUUGAUUAUUGCAUGAUAGUCAAUUAAAAGGUGCAAUUGCACCACUACCAGAUGGACCUGCGUUGUAUUAGCUAGUUGGUGGGGUAACGGCUCACCAAGGCGACGAUACAUAGCCGACCUGAGAGGGUGAUCGGCCACACUGGGACUGAGACACGGCCCAGACUCCUACGGGAGGCAGCAGUAGGGAAUCUUCGGCAAUGGACGGAAGUCUGACCGAGCAACGCCGCGUGAGUGAAGAAGGUUUUCGGAUCGUAAAGCUCUGUUGUAAGAGAAGAACGAGUGUGAGAGUGGAAAGUUCACACUGUGACGGUAUCUUACCAGAAAGGGACGGCUAACUACGUGCCAGCAGCCGCGGUAAUACGUAGGUCCCGAGCGUUGUCCGGAUUUAUUGGGCGUAAAGCGAGCGCAGGCGGUUAGAUAAGUCUGAAGUUAAAGGCUGUGGCUUAACCAUAGUACGCUUUGGAAACUGUUUAACUUGAGUGCAAGAGGGGGAGAGUGGAAUUCCAUGUGUAGCGGUGAAAUGCGUAGAUAUAUGGAGGAACACCGGUGGCGAAAGCGGCUCUCUGGCUUGUAACUGACGCUGAGGCUCGAAAGCGUGGGGGAGCAAACAGGAUUAGAUACCCUGGUAGUCCACGCCGUAAACGAUGAGUGCUAGGUGUUAGACCCUUU
rnacentral:rRNA from 1 species